rnacentral:rRNA from 1 species
GAUGAACGCUGGCGGCGUGCCUAAUACAUGCAAGUCGAGCGAACAGACGAGGAGCUUGCUCCUCUGACGUUAGCGGCGGACGGGUGAGUAACACGUGGAUAACCUACCUAUAAGACUGGGAUAACUUCGGGAAACCGGAGCUAAUACCGGAUAAUAUAUUGAACCGCAUUGUUCAAUAGUGAAAGACGGUUUUGCUGUCACUUAUAGAUGGAUCCGCGCCGCAGUAGCUAGUUGGUAAGGUAACGGCUUACCAAGGCGACGAUGCGUAGCCGACCUGAGAGGGUGAUCGGCCACACUGGAACUGAGACACGGUCCAGACUCCUACGGGAGGCAGCAGUAGGGAAUCUUCCGCAAUGGGCGAAAGCCUGACGGAGCAACGCCGCGUGAGUGAUGAAGGUCUUCGGAUCGUAAAACUCUGUUAUUAGGGAAGAACAAAUGUGUAAGUAACUAUGCACGUCUUGACGGUACCUAAUCAGAAAGCCACGGCUAACUACGUG